GCUCAGUUGGUUAAGCAUACAACUCUUGGUUUCGGCUCAGGUCAUGAUUUCACAGUUUUGUGGGUUCGAGCCCCGCACUGGGCU
rnacentral:tRNA from 1 species